AUUGAACGCUGGCGGCAGGCCUAACACAUGCAAGUCGAGCGGAGCGGCGGACGGGUGAGUAAUGCAUAGGAAUCUGCCUGGUAGUGGGGGAUAACGUCCGGAAACGGGCGCUGAUACCGCAUACUAUCAGAUGAGCCUAGGUCGGAUUAGAGAGUUGGUGGGGGAAAGGCCUACCAAGGGGACGAUCCGUAACUGGUCUGAGAGGAUGAGCAGUCACACUGGAACUGAUAUACGGUCCAGACUCCUACGGGAGGCAGCAGUGGGGAAUAUUGGACAAGGGGCGAAAGCCUGAUCCAGCCAUGCCGCGGGUGUGAAGAAGUUCUUCGGAUUGUAAAGCACUGGAAGUUGGGAGGCGUUACCAACAGAAUAAGCACCGGCUAACUUCGUGCCAGCAGCCGCGGUAAUAC
rnacentral:rRNA from 1 species